rnacentral:rRNA from 1 species
UAGCCGUAAACGAUACUCGCUAGGUGUCGGCCACGGUGCGACCGUUGUCGGUGCCGUAGGGAAGCCGUGAAGCGAGCCACCUGGGAAGUACGGCCGCAAGGCUGAAACUUAAAGGAAUUGGCGGGGGAGCACAACAACGGGUGGAGCUUGCGGUUUAAUUGGAUUCAACGUCGGAAAUCUUACCGGGACCGACAGCAACAUGAAGGCCAAGCUGAAGACUUUGCCGGAUUAGCUGAGAGGAGGUGCAUGGCGUAGUCGUGU